UUCCGGUUGAAUCCGGCGGACCCGACUGCUAUCGGAUUGAGAUUGAGCCAUUUGAGUUGAACGUCCUCUGACUGCAGGGGGCGUAGCAUACGGCUCAGUAACACGUAGUCAACCUGCCCUGGAGACGUGGACAACCCCGGGAAACUGGGAUUAAUCCGCGAUAGGUCAUCUCCUCUGGAAGGAGAGAUGGCCCAAAAGGGCGCUGUGAGCAUGUUUCACUUCAUUCGCUCCAGGAUGGGACUGCGGCCGAUCAGGCUGUUGGCGGGGUAAAGGCCCACCAAACCUAUAACCGGUACGGGCUCUGAGAGGAGAAGCCCGGAGAUGGGCACUGAGACAAGGGCCCAGGCCCUAUGGGGCGCAGCAGGCGCGAAACCUCUGCAAUAGGCGAAAGCCUGACAGGGUUACUCUGAGUGAUUUCCGCUAAGGGGAUCUUUUGGCACCUCUAAAAAUGGUGCAGAAUAAGGGGUGGGCAAGUCUGGUGUCAGCCGCCGCGGUAAUACCAGCACCCCGAGUGGUCGGGACGAUUAUUGGGCCUAAAGCAUCCGUAGCCGGUUCUGCAAGUCUUCCGUUAAAUCCAGCCGCUCAACGGAUGGGCCGCGGAGGAUACUACAGGACUAGGAGGCGGGAGAGGCAAGCGGUACUCAGUGGGUAGGGGUAAAAUCCUUUGAUCCAUUGAAGACCACCAGUGGCGAAGGCGGCUUGCCAGAACGCGCUCGACGGUGAGGGAUGAAAGCUGGGGGAGCAAACCGGAUUAGAUACCCGGGUAGUCCCAGCUGUAAACGAUGCAGACUCGGUGAUGGGCUAGCCUUGUGCCAGCCCAGUGCCGCAGGGAAGCCGUUAAGUCUGCCGCCUGGGCAGUACGGUCGCAAGACUGAAACUUAAAGGAAUAAACGGGGGAGCA
rnacentral:rRNA from 1 species